GCUGAUCUCAAGUUGGAGCUUUCUGCAGUGAUGAAGUCAUCUCUGAGAGCUAAGCACUCCACUGCCCAAGCUGAGACUUCCACUGCGUGGACGUAUUUUUGGCUUGUCAGCAUCUGGCCCAUCCCACUCGGUGACUGCUUGAGGUGGCCACGUCUCACUCUGGAGCUGUCACAGGCUAGGCCAAGCUAAGUCACAUGGUACGGAACUUCCUCAUACCCCUUUGCAAAUCGGAGUCAGAAACCCCUCGGUGUGUGGGAUUUGAGGCUCUUUCCUUCGGACUCCCUGCCACAUGGCGGCUGUCUCACAGAUCCUCCGGGCUUUGAAGACUCUCUCCCUUCAGGAAAGCAUCGAGCUGUCUGGUGUGAAGCUCUUUAGAACUCUCCAGCCUCAAGUCUCCAGCAUGCCCUGCCCCAUCUCCAAAAUCUCUCUUCCAAUAAAGCCUGAUCUGAAAGG
ensembl:lincRNA Gm45214 predicted gene 45214